ensembl:lncRNA
GGAUCACUCAGCAAGGCUAGUUUACUUCCUGCAGAAAGGAUGCAUCUCGAAGGCAGUCUUGCCACGAGAGCACGCCUGAACAAGGAGACAGGGACAUUUAUAACUUUCAUAACCUGGCGCAAUCACCCUACUGCUGUGUCCAGUUUCCAUUGGCCGGAACAGGACCUCACAUUCUAUGCUUGACCCAAUUGGCUAAAAACUUGGAAAUUUUCUAAAGAAGUAAAGCCAGAGGAGAGCAAAGGAAAAGAGAAAGUAACUUGAGGAAUGCUUAGAGAAGGGAUAACAUUUACAAAUAACGAAGGGGAAUUAGCUGUGACCUAAGGCUUGCCUGGGCUUGUCCAGGAAUGUCAGGGCAAAUAUCUAGGUUAAAGUGUAAGAACUAAGAACGCGGGAUUCACUUAUUUCUUUAUUAAGCCUAACAGCUAGUUUAUUAGCAAAAGCUUUAAAGUAAAUUAAUCUUUGAAUAAACUAUUAUUUAUUCAUAAUGAACUAAGAGGAAAGCUUUGAAGAGAAACCUUUUAUUUAUUCUUAUUUCCUACAGAGCUCAACGGUUAAAAUUCAGCUUAAUUAAAAGCUAACAUUCAAGAUGUAUGUGUGCUUGUGAACAUGUGUGUGUUUGUAUUUAAAAGGCCUUUAUGUUUUUGUUUUUCUCCUAGGACCUUGUUUAUUAUUUUUUGUCUUUGAGCAAAAGUUUUUUUCUUCUCAGUUGACGGAAUACUGUUUUCUUCAUAUGCUUCUGCUGUCUCUCCUUUUCUUCCACCUUCUCCUGCAUGUGGUACGUGAAACAGUUUAUAAUAGCCUGUGGCUCCUUAAAGAAAAUGGAGAAGGCACUAGAUUCCUUUUGGGGAGAAACCUGUUUUUUCUUACGGAACCCCAAGAACGUAAACAGGACAUCUGAUAGUGAAAGGAAUUUUCACUGAGAGGAGAGAAACCACUUCAUGCAAAAACAGUGGUUUUUAUUCCUUACACUCAGGAGUUUGAAGUUAAAGUGAACUGUGAUUGUGUCACUGCACUCCAGCCUUGGCAAUAGAGUGAGACUCCAACUCAGAAAAACAAACACAACAAAAACAAAAAACAAUGGUUUGUUGACAGUGGGGAAAUGUGACUUGAAACAUAUCAGAGCUUGAGUUCUUCAGUUCAUUUGGGAGCUUGUUGUCAGACUAAAAGAUGUGAAGAGGCAUUUAAAAAAAAUAGAAAAAAAGUGUUGACCAUUUGUGGUCCAAUAAUAUAAGAAAUAUUUUAACUUAAUAGCAUAACUGUUUACUUACUCUUUACCAGAUACAUAGAAAAGUGCUCUAUAGACCAAGAUUGACAAUCUUCUGAUCAACAGCUUCUGAAUUUACCACAUGAAACAGAUUUAACAUUAUUUUCCUUAAGAUAAAUUGAAUAAAGAUGGCCAUGAAGAAUCAAGUCCCUUAAAUCUAUCUAUUGUACUAAGCCCUGGGCAUUUAACGAAAAAUUCUACUUACUAACAAACAGCAAAGAAAGUAAGGAAUCUAUAAAGUUUCAGGGAUCUUUGAAAAAUAUAUCCAAACUACUAUGAUGACACAUCCUUUACUAUGUAUCCCGUUAAUUCAAGGUACCUUUAGUAUUCAUUUAUUCAAUCAAACAUCUAUUGAGCUUCAGCUAUGCAUGGUCAGGCAUUGUGCUGGGCACUGAGAGAACCUAAUGAAGAACCUAAUGGAGAUUGUAGUCAAAAAAAGAGCAAAAGGCCAAUGGCAACAUGUCAAGCCCAAGGCAUCAUCUAUAUACAUAUACCAAAUGAUAACCAUUGACCAUAAAAUUUUACAUUUCAACUUUAAAAC